rnacentral:rRNA from 1 species
UCGAGAAUAAUUCACAAUGGACGAAAGUCUGAUGGUGCAACGCCGCGUGGAGGAUGAAGGUCUUCGGAUUGUAAACUCCUGUCAUUGGGGAGUAAGACCUGGCGGUGAAUAGCCGACAGGGUUGAUAGUACCCAAAGAGGAAGGGACGGCUAACUUCGUGCCAGCAGCCGCGGUAAUACGAAGGUCCCGAGCGUUGUUCGGAAUCACUGGGCGUAAAGGGAGCGUAGGCGGCAUGGUAAGUCAGAUGUGAAAUCCCGGGGCUCAACCCCGGAACUGCAUCCGAUACUGCCUUGCUUGAGGGUUGGAGAGGUGACUGGAAUUCUCGGUGUAGCAGUGAAAUGCGUGGAUAUCGAGAGGAACACUCGUGGCGAAGGCGAGUCACUGGACAACAUCUGACGCUGAGGCUCGAAGGCCAGGGGAGCAAAAG